CUGAACUGACCUUCAUAUCUCAGCGAUGAGUCCUGUAGACUGCAGGCUCCACGGCAGUUGCAGCUCCCAGGGCUUCAGAUUGGAGCUGCCUGUGACAUGCAGAGGUGGAAGCACAGCCUCAGCUGUGGUGGACGGCAGCCUCUUUCAGCCCCCAGGUGCAUAACAAAGGCUGUCUUGAUUGUAUCUGUGAGAGUGCCAUGAUUUGGGGUUUUCUCUGUCGGUUUGGACCAGAUCAGAAAGCAAUUGGGACUAUUGGUGGGAGAAAGAAGCAGAAGGAGAUCCUGGAACCAAAAACACUUCAGCAAUGAAGACUGGAUUUUCUCUGAAAUGAACAACAAAAUAAAAUCUCUCCUGUAG
rnacentral:lncRNA from 1 species